GAAAACAUGUUGGAUUUGUGGAA
rnacentral:siRNA from 1 species